rnacentral:rRNA from 1 species
UAAGGAAUAUUGGUCAAUGGACGCAAGUCUGAACCAGCCAUGCCGCGUGGAGGAUGAAGGCCCUCUGGGUUGUAAACUUCUUUUAUAGGGGAAGAACUCUAUCUUUUCUAAGGUAGUUGACGGUACCCUGUGAAUAAGCACCGGCUAACUCCGUGCCAGCAGCCGCGGUAAUACGGAGGGUGCAAGCGUUAUCCGGACUCACUGGGUUUAAAGGGUGCGUAGGUGGGCAGGUAAGUCAGUGGUGAAAUCUCCGGGCUUAACCCGGAAACUGCCGUUGAUACUAUUUGUCUUGAAUAUAGUGGAGGUGAGCGGAAUAUGUCAUGUAGCGGUGAAAUGCUUAGAUAUGACAUAGAACAUCGAUUGCGAAGGCAGCUCGCUACUCUAUUAUUGACACUGAGGCACGAAAGCGUGGGGAUCAAACAG